CCUACGGGAGGCAGCAGUGAGGAAUAUUGGACAAUGGGCGCAAGCCUGAUCCAGCCAUGCCGCGUGCAGGAUGACGGUCCUAUGGAUUGUAAACUGCUUUUAUACGAGAAGAAACACUCCGACGUGUCGGAGCUUGACGGUAUCGUAAGAAUAAGGAUCGGCUAACUCCGUGCCAGCAGCCGCGGUAAUACGGAGGAUCCAAGCGUUAUCCGGAAUCAUUGGGUUUAAAGGGUCCGUAGGCGGUUUAAUAAGUCAGUGGUGAAAGCCCAUCGCUCAACGGUGGAACGGCCAUUGAUACUGUUAAACUUGAAUUAUUAGGAAGUAACUAGAAUAUGUAGUGUAGCGGUGAAAUGCUUAGAGAUUACAUGGAAUACCAAUUGCGAAGGCAGGUUACUACUAAUUGAUUGACGCUGAUGGACGAAAGCGUGGGUAGCGAACAGGAUUAGAUACCCUGGUAGUCCACGCCGUAAACGAUGGAUACUAGCUGUUGGGAGCAAUCUCAGUGGCUAAGCGAAAGUGAUAAGUAUCCCACCUGGGGAGUACGUUCGCAAGAAUGAAACUCAAAUGAAAUUGACGG
rnacentral:rRNA from 1 species